AGUGAACGCUGGCGGUAGGCCUAACACAUGCAAGUCGAACGGCAGCACAGUAAGAGCUUGCUCUUACGGGUGGCGAGUGGCGGACGGGUGAGGAAUACAUCGGAAUCUACUUUUUCGUGGGGGAUAACGUAGGGAAACUUACGCUAAUACCGCAUACGACCUACGGGUGAAAGCAGGGGAUCUUCGGACCUUGCGCGAUUGAAUGAGCCGAUGUCGGAUUAGCUAGUUGGCGGGGUAAAGGCCCACCAAGGCGACGAUCCGUAGCUGGUCUGAGAGGAUGAUCAGCCACACUGGAACUGAGACACGGUCCAGACUCCUACGGGAGGCAGCAGUGGGGAAUAUUGGACAAUGGGCGCAAGCCUGAUCCAGCCAUACCGCGUGGGUGAAGAAGGCCUUCGGGUUGUAAAGCCCUUUAGUUGGGAAAGAAAAGCAGCAGGUUAAUACCCCGCUGUUCUGACGGUACCCAAAGAAUAAGCACCGGCUAACUUCGUG
rnacentral:rRNA from 1 species